rnacentral:rRNA from 1 species
GACGGAAGGUGCAAGCGUUGCUCGGAAUCACUGGGCGUAAAGGGUGCGUAGGCGGCCGUGCAAGUCUGGCGUGAAAGCCCCGGGCUCAGCCCGGGAAGUGCGCUCGAAACUGCGCGGCUCGAGUGCCGGAGGGGAGAGUGGAAUUCCUGGUGUAGCGGUGAAAUGCGUAGAUAUCAGGAGGAAUACCGGUGGCGAAAGCGGCUCUCUGGACGGCAACUGACGCUGAGGCACGAAAGCGUGGGGAGCGAACAGG